rnacentral:lncRNA from 1 species
AACUACACUGUAAAAAAAUUUGAUUCAUGAAUUAUAAUGUAAAGUAGUGAUUUGGUCCAGUUGAAAAAGGUAAAAAAUUAGCAUUUCGGAAGCUGUCAAAAUAUUUCAAGACCCCCUUCACAUAAAAUUGUCCAUAUUUUGAGUUAGAGCUGAUGAAGUUUUCUAUAAUUUUGAUAUAAUUUGUCCCAAAAGUAGUACAACACACUGUAAAAAUAUUAUGGAGAAAGCGCAGGUGGGAUUUUUUUUAUUUCCAUUUAUUGUCUAAAAGAAAUGCACUACGAAAUAACUGUGUACUCGGACCUAAGAGGUGAAAUCAUAAAAUAUAGAAUCUGUACUUAGGCAACUUCCCUGAAUGAUUUAAUGGUGACAAUUUGUCAAAAAGCAUGAAACUAAAGGAUUUAAACUUUUAUUUGAUAGAAAUCUGCAAAAAAUUCCCAUUUUGGCAUUUCAUGGUCAAAAUGACCAUUUCAAAGCUUUUUCAAUUUUGAUGCAUAAGUGGCAAUCUAACUUGCUAUCUGACAGGUUUUCAUGUGUCAAUAUUCGUGUUUAUAUGUUUUAAUCCAGUUGUAUAACUCAUUUGUGAACUCUGAAUAUACCAAAAAGAAGAUUAUCUCAGAUAAUGUGUGCAAAAUGUGCUGUAUAAAUGACCCUCGUCUAACGCCCUGUUUGGAUCAAGUUAAAUGUGAGGAGCUUGGUACAUAAAAGUCCAUAUUGAAGAUUUCACUAAAUUUGUAUAAAAAGCACUUUAUAAUGUCUUUUGUACCUGUCUCAUUUCACAUAAUAUCUCUCUUUUCUUCUGUGAAGUUUUGAAAUUUUGAAAUUUUAACCAAAUAAUUAAAAUAUUAAAAUUCUGAAUAUCGUCAUAUGUAAGGAUAAACUUCACAAAUUCAAAAUUGCUGGAAAAUAUUACAUCUUUAUGUAAGGCUCCCCUUCAUUUGAAAACCUCUAUUUUUAGGCACAGGCUCAUAUAAAUUUGACUUUUGAAUAAUUAUGCUAAGUCUGAUAAAUUAAAUGAGUAUUCUAUUGCUUUUGAUGUACAUGAUAUAUUAUAUAUUAAGGCAUUUACAAAGUGUUUUUUUGCAAUAUUUUGAUUUUUAAAGCCCCAAAUGUUGAUAGUUGAAAUUUUUCAAUUUUAACAUCAAAUUUUAACACGCAAUGUUGAAUAUAGAAUUUAUCAUACUGUCUAUAAUAUAUAUCCUAUUGCCAUAAAACUUUGUAAGCAGUCUCAUAGCUUAUUAAGCUUAGGUCAUACCAAGUUUUAUUAAGAUUGGUCAAUUUUUUCUAUCCUUUUAGGUUCGAGUACACAGUUAUCGUCCCUUGAUUUUCGUUGUUCACGAAUAUAGUCCCUAGUGUGGACAGUGCGUUACUUGUCAUUUUCUUUUUAUACUCCUUCCAAAUUUAUUUAUUUAUGUUUUAUGCCUCAAGUAGCAAGAAGGGGGAUAAAACUACACUGUAAAAAAAAAAGAUUCAUGAAUUAUGAAUGAUUUAAAGUAGUGAUUUGGUCCAGUUGAAAAAGGUAAAAAAUUAGCAUUUCGGAAGCUGUCAAAAGAUUUCAAGACCCCCUUUACAUAAAAUUGUCCAUAUUUUGAGUUAGAGCUGAUGAAGUUUUCUAUAAUUUUGAUAUAAUUUGUCCCAAAAGUAGUACAACACAC